AGGUCAGAGGUAGGAAUUAAAAAUAGAAAUCGGCUCUGCCGAUUUCAACAAAAAUUCCGACAUCCGACUUCCGACUUCUGACUUCCGAUACUAGUGGCGGACGGGUGAGUAACGCGUGGGCAACCUACCCAUAAGCGGGGAUAACAGUUGGAAACGACUGCUAAUACCGCAUAAGCUAUUAAGGUCGCAUGACCAUAAUAGUAAAGGUGGCGAAAGCUAUCACUUAUGGAUGGGCCCGCGUCUGAUUAGCUAGUUGGUGGGGCAGCGGCCUACCAAGGCAACGAUCAGUAGCCGGCCUGAGAGGGUGGACGGCCACACUGGGACUGAGACACGGCCCAGACUCCUACGGGAGGCAGCAGUGGGGAAUAUUGCGCAAUGGGGGAAACCCUGACGCAGCGACGCCGCGUGAGCGAAGAAGGCCUUAGGGUCGUAAAGCUCUGUUGUAAGGGACGAAUGUUUAUCUGGCGAAUAGUCAGAUAAAGUGACGGUACCUUACCAGCAAGCCCCGGCUAACUACGUG
rnacentral:rRNA from 1 species